CCAGACGGCCGGGCGGCCGCUGCCGCGGGCGGAGCGCAUCCGCCGCGUGGUGGAGGAAAGUCCGGGCUCCACGGGAAUACGGUGCCGGCCAACGGCCGGCGGGGGCGACCCCAGGGACAGUGCCACAGAAAGCAAACCGCCCGCUCCGAUCGGCACCCGCCGGUCGUAACGGGCAAGGGUGAAAGGGUGCGGUAAGAGCGCACCGCGCCCCCGGCAACGGGGGCGGCAGGGUAAACCCCACCGGGAGCAAGACCGAAUAGGGGCGGCCGGUGCCGCGACGCUGCGGCGUCACGGGCGCCAGGGGCAUUCCCGCUCCGCCGCCCGGGUUGGUCGCGUGAGGCGCGCCGCAAGGCGCGUCCCAGAGGAAUGGCCGUCCCGCCGCUUUCCGGGCAACCGGGACGCGGCGGACAGAACCCGGCUUACAGGCCGUCUGGCGCC
rnacentral:RNase_P_RNA from 1 species